rnacentral:rRNA from 1 species
UACGUAGGGUGCAAGCGUUGUCCGGAUUUAUUGGGCGUAAAGAGCGUGUAGGCGGCUAGGUAGGUCCGUUGUGAAAACUUGAGGCUCAACCUCGAGACGCCGAUGGAAACCAUCUGGCUAGAGUCCGGAAGAGGAGAGUGGAAUUCCUGGUGUAGCGGUGAAAUGCGCAGAUAUCAGGAAGAACACCUAUGGCGAAGGCAGCUCUCUGGGACGGUACUGACGCUGAGACGCGAAAGCGUGGGGAGCGAACAGG